rnacentral:tRNA from 1 species
GUGGAUAAACCUAAAAGUUAGGGUUUAAUUUCGACUUAAAUAUAUAGUUAGUUUUAACUUAUUCAUU